rnacentral:rRNA from 1 species
UACGUAGGGGGCAAGCGUUGUCCGGAUUUAUUGGGCGUAAAGAGCGUGUAGGCGGCCAGGUAGGUCCGUUGUGAAAACUCGAGGCUCAACCUCGAGACGUCGAUGGAAACCAUCUGGCUAGAGUCCGGAAGAGGAGAGUGGAAUUCCUGGUGUAGCGGUGAAAUGCGCAGAUAUCAGGAAGAACACCCGUGGCGAAGGCGGCUCUCUGGGACGGUACUGACGCUGAGACGCGAAAGCGUGGGGGAGC